NNNNNNNNNNNNNNNNNNNNNNNNNNNNNNNNNNNNNNNNNNNNNNNNNNNNNNNNNNNNNNNGUGUGGGGCCAGCAGUGCCCAUGUGGGGCUUGUGGGGCCGGUGUGGGGCCGGCGGUGCCGGUGUGGGGCCGGCAGUGCCCAUGUGGGGCCGGCGGUGCCGGUGUGGGGCCCCCGCCCCCCAGGACGACACGGAGCCGUACUUCAUCGGCAUCUUCUGCUUCGAGGCGGGGAUCAAGAUCAUCGCGCUGGGCUUCGCCUUCCACAAAGGCUCGUACCUGCGCAACGGCUGGAACGUCAUGGACUUCGUGGUCGUGCUCACCGGGUGAGGACACGCGUGUGCGGGACGUGGACGCGCGUGUACAUACGUGGGCACCCGGGCGCAUCCGUGGACGUUCGUGUACCUACGUGGGCAUUUGCACACGUAUGUGCGCACCCACGCACGUACACAGGCACCCAUGCACAUGCGUGCACAUGCACACGCACAUCCGUGCACAUACGUGGGGACUCACACACGUACGUGGACAUCCGUGCACAUACGUGGGCACUCACGCAUAUAUGUGCACACUCACGCACAUAUAUGGACACCCGUGCACACACGUGGGCACUCACACAUAUAUGUGCACACUCACGCGCAUACGUGGACAUCCGUGCACAUCCAUGGGCUCUCACACACAUGUGCGCACACACACACACGUGUGUGGACAUCCGUGUACACACAUGGGCACCCGUGCACAUAUAAGGACACCCACACACGUAUGUGGGCACUCACACACGUAUGUGCACACCCACGCACAUACGUGGACGCUCACACACAUACAUGGACGUUCGUGUACAUACAUGGGCACUCACACUCAUAUGUGCACACUCACGCACAUACAUGGACACCCGUGCACAUACAUGGGCACUCACACACGUAUGUGCACACCCACGCACAUACGUGCACGCUCACACACAUACAUGGACGUUCGUGUACAUACAUGGGCACUCACACACGUAUGUGCACACUCACGCACAUACAUGGACACCCGUGCACAUACACGGGCACUCACACACGUAUGUGCACACCCACGCACAUACGUGGACGCUCAUACACAUACAUGGACGUUCGUGUACAUACAUGGGCACUCACACUCAUACGUGCACACACACACACAUACAUGGACACCCGUGCACAUACAUGGGCACUCACACACGUAUGUGCACACCCAUGCACAUACGUGGACGCUCACACACAUACAUGGACGUUCGUGUACAUACAAGGGCACUCACACUCAUACGUGCACACUCACACACAUACAUGGACACCCGUGCACAUACAUGGACACCCGUGCACAUACAUGGGCACUCGCACACGUAUGUGCACACUCACACACAUACACGGAGAUCCGUGUGCACAUGUGCACGU
rnacentral:lncRNA from 1 species